UACGGGGGGGGCAAGCGUUGUUCGGAAUUACUGGGCGUAAAGCGUGUGUAGGCGGCUUCGCAAGUCGGAUGUGAAAGCCCCGGGCUCAACCCGGGAAGUGCACUCGAUACUGCGGAGCUUGAGUGUGGGAGAGGUUGGUGGAAUUCUCGGUGUAGAGGUGAAAUUCGUAGAUAUCGAGAGGAACACCGGCGGCGAAGGCGGCCAACUGGACCACUACUGACGCUGAGACACGAAAGCGUGGGGAGCAAACAGG
rnacentral:rRNA from 1 species